rnacentral:lncRNA from 1 species
AAUAAUUGAAACGGGGUUCCAAGGGGCGAAGCCCCUGGCGGGGUGCGGGGAAGCGCCCCGUUCGAAAUUUUCUUUUGAACAGUUGAACCCUUUCCCAACCGACGUAACCGUUUCUGAACAGUUGCGUCUUUUCGGUUUCUGUUAUUGAUCUCCUAUAUAAGGAGUCAUUUGGCCUCAGUUUAAAAAAAGGAUAACGAAACCAAACUUUCUCUCUACAUUCCUGAACAUUUCUCUUUGCCAGAAACAAAUUGUUCUUCAAGAAUUAUCCCCACAAAGAUUU